CCUACGGGGGGCAGCAGUGAGGAAUAUUGGUCAAUGGACGAGAGUCUGAACCAGCCAAGUAGCGUGAAGGAUGACUGCCCUACGGGUUGUAAACUUCUUUUAUAUGGGAAUAAAACGUUCCACGUGUGGGAUUUUGUAUGUACCAUAUGAAUAAGGAUCGGCUAACUCCGUGCCAGCAGCCGCGGUAAUACGGAGGAUCCGAGCGUUAUCCGGAUUUAUUGGGUUUAAAGGGAGCGUAGGUGGAUUGUUAAGUCAGUUGUGAAAGUUUGCGGCUCAACCGUAAAAUUGCAGUUGAAACUGGCAGUCUUGAGUACAGUAGAGGUGGGCGGAAUUCGUGGUGUAGCGGUGAAAUGCUUAGAUAUCACGAAGAACUCCGAUUGCGAAGGCAGUUCACUGAACUGCAACUGACACUGAGGCUCGAAAGUGUGGGUAUCAAACAGGAUUAGAUACCCCAGUAGUC
rnacentral:rRNA from 1 species